rnacentral:rRNA from 1 species
CCUACGCGUGGCAGCAGUCGAGAAUCAUUCACAAUGGGGGAAACCCUGAUGGUGCGAAGCCGCGUGGGGGAAUGAAGGUCUUCGGGUUGUAAACCCCUGUCAUGUGGGAGCAAAUUAAAAAGAUAGUACCACAAGAGGAAUAGACGGCUAACUCUGUGCCAGCCGCCGCGGUAAUACAGCGGUCUCAAGGGUUGUUCGGAAUCACGGGGCAUAAAGGGUGCGUUGGCUGGUCCGUAAGUCGUGUGUGAAAGGGGCGGGAUGAACCCGCGGACGGCCCAUGACACUGCGAGACUAGAGUAAUGGAGGGGGAACCGGAAUGCUCGGUGUAGCAGUGAAAUGCGUAGAUAUCGAGAGGAACACUCGUGGCGAAGGCGGGUUCCUGGACAUUAACUGACGCUGAGGCACGAAGGCCAGGGGAGCGAAAGGGAUUAGAUACCCUAGUAGUC